GACGUAGGAGGCGAGCGUUGUCCGGAUUCAUUGGGCGUAAAGAGCACGCAGGCGGUUUGGCAAGUCGGAUGUGAAAACCCGGAGCUCAACUCCGGACCUGCAUCCGAAACUGCCCGACUAGAGGUAGGUAGGGGAGAUCGGAAUUCCUGUGUAGCGGUGAAAUGCGCAGAUAUCAGGAGGAACACCGGUGGCGAAGGCGGAUCUCUGGGCCUUACCUGACGCUCAGGUGCGAAAGCUAGGGGAGCGAAAGGG
rnacentral:rRNA from 1 species